CAGUCGAACGGCAGCGCGGGGCAACCUGGCGGCGAGUGGCGAACGGGUGAGUAAUAUAUCGGAACGUACCCUGGAGUGGGGGAUAACGUAGCGAAAGUUACGCUAAUACCGCAUACGAUCUAAGGAUGAAAGCAGGGGACCGCAAGGCCUUGUGCUCCUGGAGCGGCCGAUAUCUGAUUAGCUAGUUGGUAGGGUAAAAGCCUACCAAGGCAUCGAUCAGUAGCUGGUCUGAGAGGACGACCAGCCACACUGGAACUGAGACACGGUCCAGACUCCUACGGGAGGCAGCAGUGGGGAAUUUUGGACAAUGGGCGCAAGCCUGAUCCAGCAAUGCCGCGUGAGUGAAGAAGGCCUUCGGGUUGUAAAGCUCUUUUGUCAGGGAAGAAACGGUGAGGGCUAAUAUCCUUUGCUAAUGACGGUACCUGAAGAAUAAGCACCGGCUAACUACGUGCCAGCAGCCGCG
rnacentral:rRNA from 1 species